CGGCCCAGACACAGGGUGUGGGAAGAGACCUAAGAGGGCGAGGGCCAAGGUGCUGGCUGAAUGCGAGGCGUACAGUAGGGGGGGAUGCCCAGUGUUAAUGACCGCUUAACCUGAAGGGAUAAGUGCUGGGAGGAGGGAAGCUCGAAAAAAGGAAAACAAGGGACAAAUGCUUGAUAAUUACACAGCACUGCUGGCCCUCAUUUCCUGCCCCGGAUCUGUUUCCCCCAGGUGCAGUUUGAACUGGAAGAAACACACUUAUACUCACAGGGACAUCCACAUACUUGGCAGCCGCUUUCACCUUUGAGUGCGGGGAAAAAACCCCAAAAGAAGCAAGCAACAGUUCAACUAUGCAGAUCUGGUUUCAACAAAAUGCCACAUUGCUUUUAUCAUCUGUGAAUGGACUGUCUCAGCCUUCUCCUGUCAGCAACAAAAAAACAAGGCUACUUACCGUGAAAGAGAGGAUUGAAGAAAAGAAUGUCCCUUCGUCGUAUCUCGAGAGCUUGGCGAGGACGCCAUCCAAAACCACGGCAAACUGCCAAAGGAACAGAAAGUCAGAAUAGUUAGUAUUCCAUUUGUAAAAGAGGAUGGGCUUCAUGUCUGAGAGCCUUUGUUUAGCCCUUUUCAAAUGUUUUGUUCAUGUUCUAUAUAUUUUUUUUCUUUUAUUGUUACAAUCAAAAAACAUUAAAGGGCCAUUGACUG